UGAGGAAUAUUGGGCAAUGCCCGAAAGGGUGACCCAGCAACGCCGCGUGGAGGAUGAAUGCCGUAAGGUUGUAAACUCCUGUUAGAGGGGAAGAAAAAUCUCGAUCAAAUCGAGAACUGACUGUACCCUCAGAGAAAGCCCCGGCUAACUACGUGCCAGCAGCCGCGGUAAUACGUAGGGGGCAAGCGUUGUCCGGAUUUACUGGGUGUAAAGGGCGCGCAGGCGGGUUGACAAGUCAGAGGUGAAAUCCUACAGCUUAACUGUAGAACUGCCUUUGAGACUGUCAAUCUUGAGUACGGAAGAGAGAGAUGGAAUUCCAGGUGUAGUGGUGAAAUACGUAGAUAUCUGGAAGAACACCAGUGGCGAAGGCGGUCUCUUGGUCCAUUACUGACGCUAAGGCGCGAAAGCGUGGGGAGCAAACAGG
rnacentral:rRNA from 1 species